AGGACGAACGCUGGCGGCGUGCUUAACACAUGCAAGUCGAGCGAGGCCCUCUCUUCGGAGAGGUGCCCUAGCGGCGAACGGGUGAGUAACACGUGGGCAACCUGCCCCUAGCACUGGGAUAAGCCCGGGAAACCGGGUCUAAUACCGGAUAUGACCUUCAAGGGCAUCCUCGAAGGUGUAAAGGAUUCUGGCUAGGGAUGGGCCCGCGGCCUAGUCAGCUUGUUGGUGGGUAAUGGCCCACCAAGGCAACG
rnacentral:rRNA from 1 species